rnacentral:lncRNA from 1 species
UCACGUAAACUAAUAGAGCAAGAACUCGGUAGCUUUUUCAUUAUCUAAAAGUAAAAUUUUCUCUUUUUGUGGAUCUUAGGUGGAAUGUAAUGUAAGGGAGAAAACCUUUCUCUCUACCCUCUUAAGGUUUGAUCAUUGAGUCUGGGAAGUAAAUAGACAGUAGAUAGAUUAACAGGAAGAAACAAUUUUAAUUAUGUGCAUAGGCAUGGGAAUCUCACAAAAGAUGAGCGCCCAGCGCUUCCCGCAGGAGGGUUUUCUGUAUGCGCGCCUGGUUUACUCCGCCUUCAGCCAGAAUGCUGGCUUUAUUUUUGCGGUUUAUGAGCUUGAGAGAGGGAAUUCAUUUCCUUGGUAUACUAUGUGGCGAUUUUAUUUACAAGAAAGGGAUUUUACACCGGAGAGGCUUUUAAAUAUGCUAACAGACUGGACCAGCUUUCUCAUCCCCACUGGCUGAUUAAUGAUUCCUCCAUGCCAACCCGGUUCUCAGAGACACCAAGGCCGGGUAAAAACCACCCCUUCAUCCCCUAAACC